CAAACUCACCCCUCAGAGAGUUGAACCUGCUCAACUUCGCUCUGGUGGAGAUCUGUAACUUCCGGUCACACUGCGUCAUGAUGUCGCUGGAGCAGCCAGGCUGUCCUUGUUGGCCUCUAGGAAGAGGCUGCAGGAGGAGAAAGUGCUGGAAAAGCUGGACGAGAGGCCAACGAUGUCAGUGGAAAUUGCUGCAGUGUGCAGAUCGCAAGAAUGCAUGCUGAAUUGAGUGACCGUCUCGUUUGGCCAACCUUGGUGGCAGAACUGGACUCAUCCCAGAUGG